CUGAUGCAGCCAUGCCGCGUGUGUGAAGAAGGCCUUCGGGUUGUAAAGCACUUUCAGUUGUGAGGAAAAGUUAGUAGUUAAUACCUGCUAGCCGUGACGUUAACAACAGAAGAAGCACCGGCUAACUCCGUGCCAGCAGCCGCGGUAAUACGGAGGGUGCGAGCGUUAAUCGGAAUUACUGGGCGUAAAGCGCACGCAGGCGGUUUGUUAAGCUAGAUGUGAAAGCCCCGGGCUCAACCUGGGAUGGUCAUUUAGAACUGGCAGACUAGAGUCUUGGAGAGGGGAGUGGAAUUCCAGGUGUAGCGGUGAAAUGCGUAGAUAUCUGGAGGAACAUCAGUGGCGAAGGCGACUCCCUGGCCAAAGACUGACGCUCAUGUGCGAAAGUGUGGGUAGCGAACAGGAUUAGAUACCCUGGUAGUCCACACCGUAAACGCUGUCUACUAGCUGUGUGUGUCUUUAAGACGUGCGUAGCGAAGCUAACGCGCUAAGUAGACCGCCUGGGGAGUACGGCCGCAAGGUUAAAACUCA
rnacentral:rRNA from 1 species